CAGAGCUUAGUAAAAUUUUUGUCUUUGUUUCGGGAUAUAUGUUUUUGGGAUUCCUUAAAAUAUUUCAAAGCAAGGUUAAGUUUUGCAGUUCUGGAGUCGAGGUGGCCAUGGAAGUCGAGAAUGACUAGAGAUUUAGUAUUUCCAUAGAAAUUUAAGUUGAAACAUGUUACUUUUUAGUUUAUCAUUUUAUUUCAUGUUACUACUUUAGUUUUGACAAGUU